AACCAUGAUCGCCAACCGUGUCGCCAAAUGCACAGAAGCAUCCUUUAUCAUGUGCAUCCUAUAUAUUUUCAUUCAGCUUGGUAAGACUGCAACGAUCCCGCAACGAGGGCCCACUAUUUUUCCAGUGCACUGUAACACAUAUAUGAGGUAAAUGAGAUUUAAAUUUUUGUUUUGUCGGAUCAUGUGUUCAUUGCACCCGGCUGAAGUUCGAAUCGCUGCCGGUUCUCAAGUCGAGUUCUGCGCUGCACUUUUGUUUACUCUUGAUUUUGUCGUACUUUUUGAUUAAGUGCAUGGCGCAUAGCCGAUUGUGGAUUGCCGAUUGCCGAGAAUCCGGGUAUCGGGGCUGAACGGGUAUACUACGAGUAUAUGCAAGUGUAUAUGAAGUUCAUUAUCUGACCGAAGAGCCGCGUUGUUUCUUUUUUUUUUUUUGCCUCUUUUUCCCAGCCGAAUCGAGCCAAGAAUGUCGCAUUGAAAGAGGUCAAUCACCAGCGAUUGCGCCUUGGAUGUCACUCGGUGUAAUUGAGCGCAAUUUAUAUCAUUUGCUAACGAUUUUACGAUUUCGGUUAAUUAACUCCCGAAAUGCAGGAAGUCUAGUGAGCAGUUGACACAGCUCGCCAGCCUCCAAAAUGGAACCCUAGUGUUAUACCCGUGCACAAUGAUUAUACAAUGAUUUGUAUUUGUGCAUGACUGGACUGAGUCAGCCGGAGCAUUCGGGCAGAAAAGUAUGGGUUGCAAAUAAAAAGCGCAUAAUAGGCGUUUAAAUGCAAUUUUCUCCGCAAAAUGGUCGGGCGAAAUAUCAAAAAUUCGAAUUAUAUGUUUUGCCGCAUGUUGAUUAGAAUGAAAACUGUCUGUGUGUUUGUGUGUGUCGGUCAGCAGAGGCAGAAGCCGAAGUCGAAGCAAAAACCCCGUCGACAAACCGCACAGAAGUCCUCUCCCUUCUAGCAGAAAUAUUUGGGUAGAAUCUCGCAUCCGAGGAGACGGACAAGUCCAACUCACAGUCGUCAGUUUCGGCACCGUGAAAAAUCGCUUGCUGUUCUUUCUUGGCCCCAUAGACGUCUUAUAAAUCUAAGAAAUAUUAUUACAAUUUAUAUUAAGCUGUAAAUUCUGUUUGUAUUUGGUAACAGUCUGCGUCCUAAAAAAUCAGAUAUUACAAUAACAUAUAUUUGUAGAAUAUUCUUUAGAGACCCCAAGGCAAACAAGCAAUUCCGAUCUAUAAAUGACUUUGAUUUAAUUUCUCUCUCUGUGGGUCUCUGGUUUUUUUUCCAGCGCGAGAUGGAUGGAACUCUGGUCAAUAAUUUUGUGAGGGUGCCGCCAAAAGGGCAGCAGACGCUGCUCUAACUUAGUUUUUUCUUUCAUAUUUGAGCUGGUCUUUGUUUGAAAUAGAUUAUUGGCAAUACAUAUGUAUACAAAUAUUUUGUAUUUCGUCUGGCGACGCGUCGCGAGUUCAAGGAUUUUUAUUGGGUUCAGUGAACCAAAUGUCUUUCCUCCGGCCGGAAAUAUCGAAUUCGCUUUAAUUAUGGCCCCUCGCUUCAACUUCAACUUCAACUUAUUAAUAUAAGUUUGAUGAAAAGUGAAACACAAUGGGCAUACACAGAUGUCAUCAUCAUCGGCUGGAAAGCGCUGAACACUGCCAGUCAGUCAAGCCAGGGAAAUCAAUAUCCGCCUAUCCCUAAGUGUGCGCCCUAAUGACUUGGGGGCGUGGCCAUCGAGGGGCCAAAGGUGAGGAGCUGCCGAAAGGGUAAACGCCGGAUUCGACGGGUAACCCGAGAAGCCGACGAAAGUGAAGAAAGCACGUGCCGCCCCCUAAAAACUGGCAGCUGAUCCCUUCAAAAGAAAAGUAAGGCGCAGUUCUGAUCAGGGAUAUACACGUACAUUCCAUUUUACACACGGCUGAAAGUCAGAUUUACCUUGUAUGUUAUAAAUAGAAUAACUCUUAAUGUUAUUCAAAUGUCUUAAUCAUAAUUUAUCAAUAUUCUCUGUACUUUAAUUCAAAGUGCUCCAUGAUCAAUCGAACGGUUGAGAGGUAACCUGAGUGUCCAAAGGAAAGUGGUGCAAUCGGUAGUUCUAGGCACGUGCCGCCCUCAAAAAAAGGAUUCAUCUGCCUUGAAAAAGGAAAGUGAAUGCAUCGCAUCCCAAUACCUAUCCUAUCCGAUACGAUCCCAUCCGAGUUGAGAUCGAGAUCGUAGGAUUGUGGAAGUCUGAAACUGCGAUUGAUCGUGCGACAUGGGAUGCGGAUGAGGCAGUCAGAAAUUCCUAAGAAAAUGGAGCACACACACAAAAAACGCAGCACGCAAAAAAAGGGUGGAAUACAAUAUAAUAAUAAUAAGGAGCAUAAGGAGCAUAAGGAGCGAGGGAACCGAGAUCUCGUAUUAUUUAAUUUGGAACUGGGCCGCUCUUUUCGCCCUUGUUUUUCUGGCCAGCUAUCAAUGAAUCGAAAUGAAUUGAAAUGAAAUAAAAUGAAAUGAAAUGCGAAUGUCUCGAUCGCGUGCGGCAACAUUUUCACAGAUUUCAGAUUUUGAGUUUCGAGCUUUUUGCCCUGGAUUCUGAUUCUGCGUUUUGAUUUGUGCCUCCUUUUGAUCGUGCCACGUUUUUUUCUCCUUUCGAAGUUUGUGUGUAAUAUCGGGGGUUGUGUCUUCUGUUUAGGCUAUAAAUGGGAUAUUAAUACAUACUUCUGUUUAACCCUUGAGUGCCUAGUGGGUAUUCCAUUCAACUCUUUAUCACCUCACUUAAUGGAUAUAUUAUAUAUGUAUAUAUUAAGUCGACUCAUUAAUAUUUUAAAUAGUUAGUUACAUACCGAGAUUAGUCUCCCAAUGCCGGGAAAAUCGUAUAUAAAACACAGAAGGUCAUACUAACUUUUAGUAUUCAACGAAAGUAGACUUUAAACUAGAGUCAAAAAAUACUACAUAUUAUGAAUUUGAGCAUCGGAAAUAAGAAUUCCAUCUUGGAAUACACAAAACUGUUUUUUCUUUUUUAAGGUCCAAAAUAAAGAAAAACAUAGUAACAUAAUACAUCUUGAACAAAUUUCUAUUAAAAUAUACUACUUAUUCUCAGGAGCAGCUUGGUGGGUUAAUCCCCCAUUUUGUUGGCAAAUAUUUCGACCAAUGCGAUUUUUUCCCCGGUUAGUUGAUGACUAAUACGCAUGCAAGUUCCGCGAAAAUACCGCCCCGCACCCCGCUGCAUUCCACAAAUAGUUGCCUGCCAAAUUGCAACUCAAUUAUAAAUUGCAAAGGAGAAAAUGAAAAAAAAAACGAAGAGCGAAACCGAAACCGAAACCAAAGCCAAGAAAAAACCCAAAACAGUCGCAGUGUAAAAUUGUAGCUUAGGCAGCGGCAAAAACUACUAAUUUAACUGCGAGUUUCGCAUGCUAACUCACACACACAAGCGUAGAAGGAAAAAGAGCUCGAAAACAUCAAUGGAAAUGCCAUGAAAAGGCAGGUUGAGCUCUGGAAAAUCCAUGAAAUGUGCGAGUACGAGGAAAAUCUUCCGCGUUUGUGUAAUGCAGGAAGAUUUUCCAUGAUGUUUGUUUUGUAUUCGCUUUUCAUUUUCCCCGAACUGCUGAAGACAUUUGUAUGCACGCUUGUAAGUUUAGCACUCACUCGAAAAAAAUAUGGUAUACCAUUCAGGCCACUAUAAAAUACCAAUAUUAGGUAAGUAAAUGUAUAAUUUUAAUGCCUUCAAAAUGUUGAGUAUAUAUUUGAAAGAAAUUGAGUGUUAAAAAAAUAUAUAUCUCAAACUAAAAAAUCUGGCCUUGUGGACACUAAAACAAUGAUUGUUCAUAAAGCUUAAAUCCAACGUAUUAUUAAAAUUAUUCUGCAUACCUAAUUUACUUUGGAUUUAUUCUUUUCAGUGCAUAGACAAUUUUCUGGGCAUUUGCAUGUGGCGCCAAAAUAUCUCUCGAUGCACAUUCAAGCAAACUGAUUGUUCGAAUCUGCUGGAAAAGCGCUUCAUUUUCUCCGGAUAGCGAGCGAUAUCGAAGAUCCGAGAUCGAAGAUCGCAGUUCGCAGAUCGAAGAUCCGAGAGCGAAAGCACAGAGCUGGUCGAGAGCUGGUCGAAAGAAAGCAGGCGGUGAACGAAAAUCCGUUUCGGUUUUAAUUUUGGCUCCUGCUGCGGGCUGCUGAUUUUUGGCCCGGUCGUUGAUCUUUGUCCGACUGGACUUUCGUCACCAAGCGUUUUGCAUACGUGAGCGACCACCGCCAAUGACGCGCUGGCCGAGCCCCAAAUCCGCAAAUUAUAAUUACCCAUCGAUUGCCGGGUGGGUGGGUGAGUUUUCCGCCGAUUCUGACGAACUUGGGGCUAAUUGCGGACAGGAUCCUUACUCGGUCACAGCCCACAGAAAUAAAGAUUCCGAUCUCGUCCGCUGGGGAGUGGGGACAACACUAAAGUGUUUGGUAAUAUAUUUAAAUCGUAUAUCUAUAAUAAAAGAAAAGAACGGAUUACACGUUUUAGAAUAUUUAUAAACUGUGAAAGCUUAAAACAAAUUUGGAAAAACAUCUACGGAUUUUUAUAUAUCAUAAACAAUGGGUCGAAGACUAAAAUUUAAGUCUUUAGCAGUUGCAUACGCUAGUUACAAUAUAACUUUACUCUAAUUUUAAUGAUUGCUAGACUUGUUCUCAUAUUUUGCUCUCAAUAGCCCCUAAAAUCUUUAUGUAAUCUGGCAUGUAAAAAUCGUUGCGAACAUGAUGUCCAGAAUUUUCCUCACCAAUAAUUAGCAAGGAAAAUCAUGAUCGCGCUGGGCAAUUCCAGGGGCGAUUGGCAAUGCAAAUCAAUUUUGAGAUCUUUGCAAAUAUGCAGCUUUAAUUAGUUAAUAAGCGGCGCUGGCUCGCAGCUGACACCGUCGCGACAUGGCCAUGGCUUUGGUUGCUUUGCUACCAUGGCAGUGGCUAUGGCUAUGGCUACCCAGGAUUCCUCAGACGACUGCGGCUGAUAAAGCUGGACUGGACUGGACUGGGCCACAAAUGGGCGUCGAGCGCAAUUAGCGCCAUAUAUCAAUUACCGAGCGCUGCUGCACUCCACCCCAAUCCACAUUACGUAUACGCAGACGACGCGCCGCUAAGGUGUUUUCAUUAUAAAUCAUUUAUUCAAAUUGCAUAUUACGCCGACCGACUGGUUGUGGUCAGCACCUCGGCCAAGCUGACCACUGCUCCGAUUGGGUUCCGGCGUCAGGUCUCGUCGCGAACAGCUGAUCGGUGGAUUGGAUCGAAUGGGAUCGGGUGAGUAUAUGGUAUGAUAAACACUUGACGCCUCCGGAGCGGGCAGCUGUCGGGCGCCGAUCACUGCUCACCGAUUACCAAGCAUAAGCAAUAUUCAAAUGGAUGGGAGUUUUCGCAGCAUUCCAGCUCAUACAAGAAAGCUAAUUAAACAUUUAAAUAUUAUUGUCAAAACAAACAGAUAAGUCAGCUGUUUAAAUCUAUCCUGAAACGAUAAUACAUAUGUAUAUUUAUUAUAUUUUUGACUCAGACAGCCGUUGUUAUUAAAAAGACUACAAUCUUUGGGAAAACUCGAUUUACUAUAACUAUUGGGUAAAUUACAUUAAUUAGUUUGUUGUUAUCUUAUUUGGUACACAGCAA